AGCGAACGUUAGCGGCGCGCCUAACACAUGCAAGUCGCACGAGAAAGGGAGCAAUCCCCGGUACAGUGGCGCACGGGUGAGUAACACGUAGAUGAUCUUCCCUGGAGUGGUGGAUAACCUGCCGAAAGGCGGGCUAAUACAGCAUGGGACCACAUGGUUUUGACCGAGUGGUGAAAGCGGGCCUCUGUUCACAAGCUCGCGCUCUGGGAUGGGUCUGCGUCCCAUCAGCUAGUUGGUGAGGUAAUGGCUCACCAAGGCAUCGACGGGUAGCUGGUCUGAGAGGAUGACCAGCCACACUGGAACUGAGACACGGUCCAGACUCCUACGGGAGGCAGCAGGUGGGGAAUCUUGCGCAAUGGGCGAAAGCCUGACGCAGCGACGCCGCGUGGUG
rnacentral:rRNA from 1 species